UACGUAGGUCCCGAGCGUUGUCCGGAUUUAUUGGGCGUAAAGCGAGCGCAGGUGGUUUAUUAAGUCUGGUGUAAAAGGCAGUGGCUCAACCAUUGUAUGCAUUGGAAACUGGUAGACUUGAGUGCAGAAGAGGAGAGUGGAACUCCAUGUGUAGCGGUGAAAUGCGUAGAUAUAUGGAAGAACACCAGUGGCGAAAGCGGCUCUCUGGUCUGUAACUGACGCUGAGGUUCGAAAGCGUGGGUAGCAAACAGG
rnacentral:rRNA from 1 species